rnacentral:lncRNA from 1 species
AAUGUACGUAUUAAAUAAUGCAUAGGGACAGAACAUAUUUCUUUUGCAGUGCCUGUAUGUCUCUCUAGCGACCUUUAGGUAAGAAUAUAAAGUGUUCAGGCCUUUCAAAUGCAGGAUGACUUUGUCUUAGAGGUUGUGCAUUUACAAGGUGCAACCUAAGGCUCUAUUUACCAUAACCGAGCCCUGGAAACAUUUUAUAUAUAUUUUUUUCGCACUAUAAUGUUUGGGGAACAUUUUAAUCAAGGGUUUUGAUCCAUGAUUUGAAUAAAUGAAUAAUCUCCUCUUGAUUUCAGUCAUUUUGCCGGACCGAUCCCAGAACGCUUCCUGUCACGCCAGAAGCAGGAACCCAGGGCACACAACUGGAAAAGGAAAGGUUUCUGGCAGGCAACAGCUUCAGGUGAUCCCAUUGCAUCUGCGGAGACGUGGCCCUGCUGCCAGGUGGGCUCCUUUUCGUCAGGAGCUGCCCGGCACCCUUCCCUCCGGCGCUGCCCCUGCGGUGUCUGCGUGUCUGCCGGCCACGGCCCUGCCAAAGGAGCAAUAACGGGAGGUGAGGUGCUCUGAGCAAAAAUGUUUCUCACGAGCCACAGGAACCACCAGCAGCAGCACGCCAUGAGCCAUAACGCGCACGGCCACCCUGGUGCUAACCGGAGGGGCAGGUCACGGCAGGCUGCCGAUACCUGGCAGCUCUGAUCAGGACCGCUCAGCCUUUCCUGGCUUGCUCUACUAAGGACAUCAYUGCUUUCACAUGAGAGCAACAAGAAUGGUCUUGUCUCCUCUCGAGACCUCAAGGUCCCRUCUUCAUUUGCCAGCAAGUGUUCCACGAAACUCCGUUUCAUUAAAGCUAUCACACAAUAACCUUCGCAGAAUUACCUGCUCUUUGUAGUCCCACCAUAGCCUGAGCCUGCUCUCACUGAAGUUACUGUUAGGCUGAGGGACUCAAAUUCAUCUUUUCCUCUAGUUAAGUGCCUGGAGCCAACUAAUGUCCUUCCGCAGUCAUGAAACGCGACAAAGGGACCCUGAUUCGGAGGAGAAGGUGAGGUUUGUGGUCUCUAUGGAAACUGAAGAAUAGCCUAAUGAAAGGGCAGACGAGGAAGCAAGAACGCAGGACUAUCAGACGAACGGAAACCGCAGCAUCUCAGACGCAAGUUGAGAAAAUGAGGCAGUGAACUUGGCAAGUUGACUGAAUUGUAAGUUUGGUACCUGGGGCCCUGGUGAGGACUCGGUGGUGAUCUCUUAACAGAUAAUUGACAAAUUCUGUGGCACAGCAGGACCAAAUAUUGACACCUCUAAUAUAUAUUGGGAGAAGAGGAGGAAGAGUCACAACCAUACAAAGACCAUGCCUGUUUUAUAUUUUUUCUUCACAUGUUUUCUGCUGCAGCUAUACCAGAUGAAAAUACAAGAAAAUCUGAUAAUGUAGGAAUGUGUCUGUG